rnacentral:rRNA from 1 species
GACAGAGGGUGCGACCGUUGUUCGGAAUUACUGGGCGUAAAGGGCUCGUAGGCGGCCAACUAAGUCGGAUGUGAAAUCCCCAGGCUUAACCUGGGAACUGCAUCCGAUACUGGAUGGCUUGAAUCCGGGAGAGGGAUGCAGAAUUCCAGGUGUAGCGGUGAAAUGCGUAGAUAUCUGGAGGAAUACCGGUGGCGAAGGCGGCAUCCUGGACCGGCAUUGACGCUGAUGAGCGAAAGCUAGGGGAGCAAACGGG